rnacentral:lncRNA from 1 species
CCGCCUAGUACGGUCGUACAAUCCUAUUCUGGAAUUUGCGCCAUGAUCUUGGGGACAUGAUUGGAACCUAGCUUAUUCUGUUAUAAAUCCAUAACGAUACUAUUCUGCGGUCGAGCAUACUCAGCUUCGGUACUCCUCGUAGUCCUAUCUCUGGUCUUUGCAUGCUAUCUUUGAUCUUGAGUCUGGUCCAUCGGAUUCGAACU